rnacentral:misc_RNA from 1 species
UUAAAAAAAAAAAAAUUCAACACUUAAAUGCAUUUAUUUUACUUUUAUUUAGCGCUAUUACUGCAACCGUCGAAAUGGCAAAAAUCCAACAGGCAAACUUUAUGAUAAGGCAACAAACAUCCGAAGGAAAAUAAAAAAAGAAACAGGAGCACUAAGCGUUGCACCUAAAUGUCAACCCACUCAAUCAAGUUUGUCGGAGCAGGCGAGCAAUACAGAUGAAAAUGACUUAGCCAUGAAAAAUUGGCUUUGUCAUAAUGUAGAGCCUUGGGGCGAUGUUGUAGAAAAAUGGACUUUUUUUAUGGAUGGACAGUCUUGGAUACACUUUGGUAAGUUUAGCUUUAUAUAUGUACCUAUUUUAAAUUUUCUUAUUUAUGAUAUAAAACUUUGGAAUUUGUAUAUUUUCAAUUAUACUGCAGGUUGAAAUUGAUUUUGAAGCGAAAUUUCCCAACUGUUCGCAGAAUUUGCUAAACAAAUGGCCAAAAUUUAGAAAGUCAAUUAUACCUUACAUGAAGACAAAAAUAAGAGAUGCAACGUCCAUUGAUAUGCUAAAAAAAAUUGACGAAAACAUCAGUACUGACUCAAUGGAUUGUUUAUUGACACUGCUUUUGCAUGCGAUACUUAAACCGUCAUUAAUUUCCGUUGGACAAACUUCUGGUGAAAAACGGCUUAAAUGGAAGCCAUCAAUAUGUGAUGCGCAAGCAGUGACAUUGCUGCAUUGCAGCAGCAUAAACGAUUAUCAGAGGAUGUACCACGAAUUAAAGAUUAAGUUAAAUCAAAAGAAUCUUCCUCUUCAGCCGCUACUAUUGGUAGUCGGAGAGAAACUAACUCAGUUAGACUCUUUUUACGUUAUUUUCGACAGUAUAAUUUACAAGGUACCGACAUUUUUAAAAUCACUUGAUACUUUAUUUAAAAUCUUUCAUGUAUUAAAUUUGGAAUAUCCGAUACAAGCGAAAUCCAUAUAUAAUUUUAUC